GCGGAGUCCGGGAAGUGAAUACAGUCUCGUGUUAUGCUUGAAAGUAAGUAGCUUCAAGAUCACUUCUUGAUCACUUAUUAGCUUCUCGACCGUGCUUUGCUUCUCUUCUCGCUCUCUUUUGCGUAAGGUAGCCACCAUAUAUGCUAGUGCUUGUUGCACCUCCACCUCACUACCCUUUCCUACCCAUAAGCUUAAAUAGUCUUGAUCUCAUGGGUGUGAGAUUGUUGAGUCCUCAUGACUCACAGAUACUUCCAAACAGUUGCAGGUGCCGAUGAUGCCAGUGCAGGUGACGCAGCCCAACUCAAGUGGGAGCUCGUUGAAAAUCUUGGCCGUUGUUUUAUGUAUUUUCUGGUUGUUCAGUAGUGGAGCCCAGUUGGGACGACCGGAGAUCUAGCAUUUGGGGUUGUCUUCUUUUAUUUUGGUUCUGUAGUCGGACCUUGACUGUAUUCUGGAUGAUGUAUGUUUAACUUGUCUUUGUGUGAAGUGGCGAUUGUAAGCCAACUCUUUAUCCCUUUCUUAUUCGGUACAUGGGAU
rnacentral:lncRNA from 1 species